CUUCAGCCUUCACUCCUCGUUGGAGUCUAACUACCUAAACUCUUGAUUUCGACAAAUCUAGCCGAUCCAACCUAUAAGGAGGAAACCGACUCGCAAUAAAGGAAAAGAUUUUUGAUUACGGGAGGAGGGGCGGGAGGAGGCAGAGCACCCGCUAGGCACGGAUGCUGCGAGAGGGUCGUGUUAUUCAGAGCAAGCAUGUUCUUCGGAAGGCGAACUAAGCUGCAGAUUGGGUCAUCUCAUUUGCUGCUUAUUAUUUUGGAGAAUUUCUAUGGACCCAACAGACUUUUUUUUUUCUACUUUGUGUAGUCUUCUUGCUAGUGAAGUAGUGUGAGGAGCCAAUUUACCAAAAAAAAAAAAACAAAAGAGGAAAGAAAAAAAGAGAUUUUUUAAUGAUGGGCCUCCAAUCCCCCCUCUCUACACAAAGUCACCGGGCGCUAACCUCCCACCGCCUGCUCCGGCUUGUGUUCGUCUCUCCUUCCAACACCUCGCGCACACACACUCUCUCUCCCCGUUCAGUUUCUUGGUCGUCCUAAUUUUUCAAGGAUUGCGAUCACCUUUUUGCUUUAGAACAGCAACGAGCUUGCUUAUGGUUAAAAUAAAUGUCUAUGAGAGCGGUUAUUUGAUUUACUUCUGGUCUUCAUUAUUCUAUCUUUGAUUAAUUUACAAUUCUAACGUGUAGUGUUUUGCCUUUAUUCUGUUUGAAGAAAUGCCUGGCCUUCCUUUCAUAUGAAUGUGUAUAUAUAUAUACACGCAUAUGCACGGAACCGUCAAGGAAACGAUGUGAUCUAUGAUUAAAAUCAUCAUUAUUUUGCUACAUACCGAUACUUCGAAAGUCCAAACUGAACAAUGGUGUUAUUGCAAAUAAGCUUAUGUACAAGCAAAUCCAAAACUUUCAAUAAGCCAGCCUGAAGGAUGGAACUGAAAUCAAUACAAAUUAGGCCUCCGUAUCGACCAAUUCAGCCCCAACCUAACAAAGGCUAGAAAUGUUUCUCUUUUUUAAUAUAGUUUUUCCUAAACUACACAAAAGCCUAACAUGCCACCACCGACACAGAUGCCAUCCACAUCAAUGAUUUUAACUAUUCGUUGCGUUCUAUGUAUCUUAAAGCACAUGUAAACCAAGAAUCAAAUGGUUUGGAUAGUUUUGAACCAGGGAAUAAAAUAGACUAUUUGUCAUGUUAUGAAAAAUUGUCCGUAUAGCAGUCAGUUGACACAGUAACUGAUCUCCAAAACCUCAUAGAUUUUUUAAAAUUAUAUUUUUGGGCAUUUCAAGUGUGGCACAAUGAAUGGUGUUGAUUACCAAGUUCAAUGUCCUUCCAUAUGUUUUGUAUUCCAGGGCAUAGCUACAUUAUUAUGUCCUGAAACCAUGUAUAUAAUGUGGAUACACCUUAUACUCACAUAACGAAUUGCACAUCUUUCUUCAGCAGCAUUAGAUAAAUCAGGAAAUGUUAAUUCACAAAAAUGUUCUUUGUAUAUGAGUCUUUUAUGCCUACCCUUCUUCCUUCUCUUAAAAAUCAAUUCCAUCAUAGUUUUUUAUAUAUGAAUCUUCUAGGCGUACCCAUCUUUGUUUGCUUAAACAAGUAAACCAUCACUUAUCAGAAAAAAAACAUGUAAACCAUCAUAGCUUACAAUUAGCUAUUAUAUUGAGUUGUUUGCAUGUUUUAAACAGUCGCAAAAUGCAACCUGUGCAUGUUAGAACAAAGUUAGAAGCAUUGGUUAGUUACUAACUUCUAAUCAGUCAUGAUUCGCCAUACCGAUAUCCGGUAUAGGUGGCGUAACGAUACUCGAUACACCGAAAGGACUCCAUAUCAUACCGACACAGUGCUAGUGUGGCACUGGCAUGGGGUUCAGUACCGAGAUGGCAAACUUUGUAAUUAAUUCCUAGUUAGUUACAUCACUACUACAGGAUCUUAACUUCAUUAUAAUAUCUAUUAUAUGGGAUAGAGUAAGAUGGUUCUUAUUCCUUUUGCAUGUAUCAGCAACUUCUCAUAAUAUCUGUUCUGUCAAUCAGAGCAUUUUUUAUAGGCAGAUGACUUGAAAUUUGUCUAUCCAAUGAACUGGAAAGGUUUUGUGUACAGGAUUUGAAAGGAUGUGACUCUUCAACUUGAGUUACUGAGAUACUAUGUUAUAAUUUUUUAGUGUGCAUAAGCACCAUAUCUGGCGUACAAAUUUUGCUUUGGUUUAUAUUAAGCAUUGGGUUUGAGCUACCAAAAUUUGAGGAAAAAUGGUCAAAUAUUUAACAGUAAUUGAUUCAAAUCUCAAUUUGCUUGUUAUGCACAUAUAAAUUAUAUAACAACCUAUUUUUGAUCUUUUUGUGACAUACUCACAUGUUUACUCCAUGUUCGCAUGCAAUUCAUGUACCAAACAGGUUCUGGAAAAAAUACUGAGUUUAAUUCUAAAGCUAUUUUAUUACCUCUCCCCUUUGCAGGUAAAAUCACUUAAAUCCUCUUUGUGUCUGAUCAAGUUCAGAGUAUUGAAUUUGAAUCAAAUCAGGAGACUGGCUUGGUUGGAUGAGUAUUUCAGUCUGGUCUAGAUCAGAUUGAAAGUUUUAUCUGAUCCUUUUUGGGGCCUUACGGAGCUCAUCUUCAUUUUAUUUACUGAAUACCAGUGCUUGAAUUCCACGGUGGUUUUCUCUUGAGCUACGGAAUCCAUUUAUAUGGGUUUUGCCAUUGUCACAGAUAUUCUCCCUCAGAAGAGUUAGCCACUCUGCUUCCUUUACUUCUUUUGUGCCUAUUCUUUAAAUCAAAAUUUCCCUUCAUUUAUUUUGUCUAAACUUUCAUCAUUUCUUCCUUUCUUUCAGGCAUUUGCUUGAAUUUUCUGGAGAUAAAGAGGCCUAUAGCUCAUGAGUGUUUGAAUGUUUCAUUUUAACCUUUUCCUUGCAAUUAUAUAGUCUUUUUCUUAAUUGGCUUCAAAAAUCCUUGAAAAUCUGGGAAUAUGAUUGUUUCAGUUUGAGAAUUGAGACUCUGUUUAUGUUGUUAUAUGAGUAGUUAGUGUUACUCUUUUGUUCACACAAGAGAGCCCUUUUUUAAUUUUUAUAAUAAUGUUGACUUAAAUUUCUUUUCCUUUUAAAUUUUCCUGUCUGUAUAGUGCCUCUCUGUUUUAACAUGGUUUAAAAGAUUUGGGCCCCCAAUCUGAACCUUAAGUUUGAACCCAUGGAUCGAGCAUGGAUCCAAACUAAAACCCAAACUUUGAUUGUUUGAGUAUGGAUCUUGCAGAAUUGGAUCACACCUGUUUGAACCAGGUUAUCUUUAGUGAAAUGAAUUAGAAGUUCAGGGUCCUGCCCAUAUUUAGAAACAGUACAACAUCUUUCUAGGCUAUGCAUAUGCAGCCUUAUAUUCUCUGAUGAUAUCCACUGGUACUCCCAUAUGAUGCAUGAGGUGUUUUAUAAGGGUGGAUCAAACUAAACUGGGAUGGGUGGAUUUUGAUUUGCAGACGUUGAUUCUGUUUGCCAUGAUGCAGAGGUUGAACAGAAAUUCAAAAAAAAAAAAAAACUGUUCGAUAGUACGUAGGAUCUUGUCAUAUAGUCUUGUGGUUAUUAAAGAGCAAAAUUCUGUGAGUUUGCUUUGAUGGUGAAUGAACAUGUUUAGAUUAUUCAUAAUUCUCCUGAGAAACCAAAAUGGACACCCUUUGUGUCUAGAGCUUUCAGCCUCAACUUUGAUGUCAAUGCAAUGAAAAAUCCAGAUCAACUCCUACAUCCAAUUCUAUUCUUACUUCUGCCUUUAUAUUCUCUUCAAUAAUAUUAUUUAUUAAAUAUUAUCCGGAAUUCAUUACCAAUGGGAGGAAUUUAUGGGGGCUAGUGCUUCAUCAAUCUUAAGUCUCAACUUAUUGGAGAUGCCAGAAUUCAUCUAAAAAGGUGAUUUCUGGUUGUUCGACAAUCUUGAGAUUUAGAUAUUUAUGGAUGACCUCAACCAAUCAGACCUGUUCAUCCUUUGCCUCUAUUUCCUCAUCUGUUCACUCCAUCCCGCUCAUGUUGGGAAUAUUGAAGUAUAAGCUGAUUAGCUUUCCAAACAGGAUACAAGAGUACAGGGUCAAUAUUAGAGCUUUACUUCAUAAGCUCCUUUGAGUAUGAUCUGUUAUUUUCUUGAAGUAUUAAAACUGCUACUUAGACAAAGCCCCUAACUUAGGGAGGAAUAUCUGGCCCUUCAACUUUAAAUAUUUGGUCUUUUGUUAUGAUACUGCAUAUGUUUGGUUAGACUAGGAUUGUUAAAACGGAGGGCCUGUCCUCAUAGAGAAUAGAAGUUUGGAAGAGAAAAUACAUGGUUAGAGUUUCAAUUUUAGGUUUGUACUGAGUAUGAAAGAAAUACUUAAAAGGCUCAUCCCAAAUGUAUUAAGAGAGUGCUAGGUGAUAUGGGACAAAAAGAUUCAUGUGAAAUAUUUCAUUUUGGGAUAUAUGUAUUCCUGGGCCCAUCUAUUUCCAUACCUCCACCAAUUCAAAUGUGCCUUUUCAGGUUGGAUUGAUGUAUUUAUUGUGUGAAAAGAGAGGAUACAUGUUAGCAUGAUGAUUCACAGCAAGCCGCCUGAAAAGUAUACUGAUGACCGUGAUAGGAAAUAUAAGACAUGAUAAAACCAUAUCUCAAUACUGUUAUGCAAAUUAAACAUAAAAAAUGUUAUAUUCUGCCUAUGCAAUCUAAUUUCACAUCAACUUUGGGAGUAAGUAGUUAAAUCAGAAUUUAUUCAAUGGUUUAUUGUGUUGCUUCCUUGGAAUAGUUAAGAGCUCUUCGAGAAAUAUUUGAACAUGGUUGUAAUCUCACUUUUGAAGUUUUUUUUUCCUCUCUCAUUUUGCAGUUUGGAUAUUAGCCUCUUCAACAUGUUAGACAGACAGCAUCAAGAAUUUUUGCUUGUAAUACUCAGGAACCCUGUCAUUCUUCUAGUACAUUCAAGAAAUAUUAUUGACAUCCUCAAAAUGUUGAAUUCCCACCCAUACUGCCAAAGAAUAAAAAAAAGUCUUUCUCUAUCCCAAUAAAAAAAAUCAUACAGGCUUCUGGACAGGAUAAAAAACUGGCUGAAAUGGGUAUAGAGAAGCCUCUUGAGCCCCCCAAAGAAUGUGUUACUGGUACCUGAUCUUGUUCCUGUUGCUUAUGAGGUACUGGAACAUUGGAAAGGGCUGAUCCAAGGCCUUUCCCAGCUUCUGAAUGUUGUUACAGUUUAUGGUUGUAGCAAAUGUUCUGCAGUCCACGUUGGUCCCAUUGGCCACCGGAUUCAGGACUGCAGAGGCACUGGAAGUGAGCAGUGCAGGAACCUCCACUGUUGGUUUUGAGGUUCCAUCAAUGAUGCUCUUAUCCCCAUUGAAUCAUACCACCUGUAUGUCCCCUUUGGGCGGCGCAUCAAGCACAAGACUCAUUUCCCAGCAGUUGUAGAGCUACGCAUUCAAGCAGGAGUUGAUUUGCCAGAAUUUCCUUCACGCCGACGAACCAUGCCCAUCUGAAUGCUUGGGAAAAAGAAAUCAUUUCCUGUGGAGCUGGACAUGGGGCAUAUGACUUGCUUGUAGGUUUUCCAGUGUACAUUCUACAUCUGUCUUGGAAAGAAAUGGUUAUCCAAAGUGUUAUGCAAUACACAUCCCUGUAAAGAAUUAUAGCUACUCUCUUCAUGCAUGGUGUCAAACAACAAGAUGGGUCCUCUAUGUUCAUAUACUUCCUAAUUAUCUAU